AAUUAAAAUUAUUCGAAGCAUAUAUAUAACAAUAUAAGAUGAGAUACUGCUAAGAGCUACUGACAAGAAACACAGAGGAACAAACAUGAAUCUACUAACAAAAAAUGUUUUUGAUAUGAUCAUCUUUCUUUCUCCACUUAUUGUUACAAUGAGCAUGAAAGUUCUAUGUGGCAGGGAUGGUACUUGUCCAAGGUUCAUGUGCGGACCUGGUAUUAUACCAAAGUGUGUAGGACGUUAUUGUGAGUGUUAGAAUGAUUUCAUAUAUUACAGAGUACAAGACCUUAUUUUGUAUUCAAUGAGCUUUCAUUUACUUAUUUUGUUGUCAUGCAAAAAUUUGAUUUUUUCUUAGUUUUUCUAAUUACACUGUUGUAGUUAUGAUUUUGUACUCUAAAGAGUUCUCUUGCAAUAAUUCAAUUUUCUUUUAGUUAUUCUAAUUACAUGGUUGUAGUUAUAGUUUUGUACUCUAGGAUUAUGCUAAUGAAAUGAAAGAAGACAACAAAAAAAAAUAUUAUCUA